GACGAACGCUGGCGGCGUGCUUAACACAUGCAAGUCGAACGGCAAGGCCCUGCUUUUGUGGGGUGCUCGAGUGGCGAACGGGUGAGUAACACGUGAGUAACCUGCCCUUGCCUUUGGGAUAACUUCAGGCAACUGGGGCUAAUACCGGAUAGGAGCUCCUGCUGCAUGGUGGGGGUUGGAAAGUUUCGGCGGUUGGGGAUGGACUCGCGGCUUAUCAGCUUGUUGGUGGGGUAGUGGCUUACCAAGGCUUUGACGGGUAGCCGGCCUGAGAGGGUGACCGGCCACAUUGGGACUGAGAUACGGCCCAGACUCCUACGGUAGGCAGCAGUGGGGAAUAUUGCACAAUGGGCGGAAGCCUGAUGCAGCAACGCCGCGUGCGGGAUGACGGCCUUCGGGUUGUAAACCGCUUUCGCCUGUGACGAAGCGUGAGUGACGGUAAUGGGUAAAGAAGCACCGGCUAACUACGUG
rnacentral:rRNA from 1 species